CGACCGGCGCACGGGUGAGUAACACGUAUGCAACCUGCCCUCUUCAGGGGGACAACCUUCCGAAAGGGAGGCUAAUCCCGCGUAUAUCGGUUUCGGGCAUCCGAGAUCGAGGAAAGAUUCAUCGGAAGAGGAUGGGCAUGCGGCGCAUUAGCUAGACGGCGGGGUAACGGCUCACCGUGGCGACGAUGCGUAGGGGUUCUGAGAGGAAGGUCCCCCACACUGGUACUGAGACACGGACCAGACUCCUACGGGAGGCAGCAG
rnacentral:rRNA from 1 species